CAGGAUCAAUGAUGACUGCUGGUGGCCCAUGAACUGGAUAGAUGAAUAUGUAUCUGCAACUCAGAGGUUCAGAACGGAAGAAAUCUUGGUCGUUGUCCUGUGUGAAGUGAUUCUAUAGACAGAUGUCAUGAGUAUGUAAGAAUCACAUUUUUGGUUUACAUUCAUGCAUUCUCUAGUUUUAUAAUUGGGGCAAUGAUAUAGUCAAUAAACAAAUACACAAAUAAAUAAAAGUGAAGGUCAUGAAGCAAGUCCAAUUAUAAAAAUGUGUAGUAAGACAAGAAAUACCAUUUAUGUAUAUUAAAAAUACACCAAUCUGUUAGGAAACAAAUGGUGCAAGGGUGUUACCUCUGGCUAAGGAUUUUAUAGGCAGUGUCAGUUAACAGGCAGUGUUCAUAUUCUGUGCCAGUGGCAGGGUUGUUACUGUGUGUUUACUUGGGAGAAGUUAAAUAAACAUUUUCGCAAAUAGCUAAUUCUCUAAAUGACUGACUAAAUCAAAGGUGGAAUACAAGGACCAAUGGAGAUUAGGUCUCAACCUUUUAAAAUCAUCUGUUCUGCUCUGUACUCCUCAGAAUGGACCCAAGCAAACUGACUGAAGAAUUCUUCCAUGAUCACAAGUUCUAUGGUUGCAUCUGUGCCUUAAAGCAUGGAGACCAAUGUUUUCCCUAAACAUUCCUUAAUUGAGAAAGAUGUAAACUAUUUUCAUUGUGAGGAGGGAGCACACACAGGAGAUAUGCUGGAGCUGAUUUCAGGUUCUGCCGUCGUCAAAAUUGUCCUAUUACUUCCGUCAGGAAGGAGACUAAGCCCUCAGAAUGGCCACCCUGGACUUGAAUGAAGGAGUCCUCCUGGAUCAGCAGCCUAAGGUUCAAUCUGCGGUUGAGGAGCCAGCAGACCCGUAAUCAAAGCUGAAGGUGAUGUCAUCUUCCACUGUGAUCAAGGUUCUAAGGGUCUCUGGGUCAGAGGUCACAGACCAAGCGUGUAUUCUUCCUCUGAAAAUGGAGGCGUUCAUGCUGAUUAAUUAUUGUGCCAUCUUUGGGAGACUUAUGAUUACUUCUCUGUAAUAUUGAUUGCAUUCUGAUGAUGGAAGCAUUCCAGUAUGGUCAUGAGCUCUGGGGGUUCAUCUGUGGUUUAGAAGCGUGGAGACUAGACAUGAAAACACCUGAGAUGAUUUAAGCAUCUCCCACAGUCACAAACUGUAUGGUUACCACUUCUUAAUCAACGUUGGGAGAUUAAUAAUGGACCCACUGGACCUAAUUUCAGGACGUUUCCUUGAUCGUGAGCCUAAAGAUUGCGUCUCUGUUUUAGGAACCGGCAGAACUGUAAUCGAAGCUGAAGGUGAUUUGAGCGUCCACUGUGAUCAAGGUUGUUGUAGGGCAGACAGCAAGUUGAUUAAGCCUCAUUCCAUGAAGGUGCAUCUGUCUUUUAGAGGCACUGAGAACAACGUG